UACGAAGGGGGCUAGCGUUGCUCGGAAUCACUGGGCGUAAAGCGCACGUAGGCGGAUUGUUAAGUCAGGGGUGAAAUCCUGGAGCUCAACUCCAGAACUGCCUUUGAUACUGGCGAUCUCGAGUCCGGGAGAGGUGAGUGGAACUGCGAGUGUAGAGGUGAAAUUCGUAGAUAUUCGCAAGAACACCAGUGGCGAAGGCGACUUACUGGACGAUUGUUGACGCUGAGGUGCGAAAGCGUGGGGAGCAAACAGG
rnacentral:rRNA from 1 species